UAAAAGCGUGUGGCAAAGCUCA
rnacentral:miRNA from 1 species